AUUUGUCUUUCAUUUCAGCGGAAGAAUUUCUUUCUUCUGACAUUUUCAGAUUUAGCUUUUUAAGAUUUUUAUUUUUCGUAGCUAAUUUUCUACAUUCACCAUACAAAUCAUGAAAAGCAUUUAAUAGUUCAUCAUAAGAGAAUUCUUCUUGAAAUUUAUUAGGUGUAAAAUCAGAUUCAGAUUUUACCUUAUCUUCUUGUGCCAUAAAACAUAAGUUAGUUACCUCUUGUAGUUCUUUGGAGUUAGUAUCAUCAUUGUUGCUCCUAACUUUCAUUUUCUUGCUUGACUCUUUCUUGGUCAAGGCUUUCUUGCUUUUUAUCUCUUUCUUCCUUUCUUCUUGCUUCCUCUUCUUCUUUGUCUUUAGGAAGCUUUUGAAUUUUUCGGUGUUUGGGUAUGGAUCCUUGUUUUCAUCACCGAAUUCUUCAUUUGUUGUUCUUUCUUCCUGAUUGGGAGAUUCAACAUCUUUUUCUGCAGGCUCACUGUUAGUAUGUAAUUGAAGCACAUGUGAGCUAAUCUGAAUUUUG
rnacentral:lncRNA from 1 species